rnacentral:rRNA from 1 species
UACGGAGGGUGCAAGCGUUAUCCGGAUUCACUGGGUUUAAAGGGUGCGUAGGUGGGAAUGUAAGUCAGUGGUGAAAUCUCCGUGCUUAACAUGGAAACUGCCAUUGAUACUAUGUUUCUUGAAUCUUCCGGAGGUCAGCGGAAUAUGUCAUGUAGCGGUGAAAUGCUUAGAUAUGACAUAGAACACCAAUUGCGAAGGCAGCUGACUACAGGGGCAUUGACACUGAGGCACGAAAGCGUGGGGAUCAAACAGG